GGAAACCCUAGUUUCUCUUUUCUUUAUUGGUUUAUGAUUUGUACUAUUUCCAUAUUCUAGACUUUCCAUAUUUUUAGUCUUUCUUUUUCUCUCUUUGUAAUUCUCUAUAUAUAAAGGGCACACUUUAUGUUUAUGAAGUAAUAACAGAAACAUACAGAUUAUAUUCUCUAGUUUCACAACACGUUAUCAGCACGAUUACUCUAAGAACCCUAAGCUAAAU
rnacentral:lncRNA from 1 species